rnacentral:piRNA from 1 species
UACCUCCACUUUUUCUUCUGUGCAGC